AGCUUGCUCUCUUGGCGGCGAGUGGCGGACGGGUGAGUAAUAUAUCGGAACGUGCCCAGUAGCGGGGGAUAACUACUCGAAAGAGUGGCUAAUACCGCAUACGCCCUACGGGGGAAAGGGGGGGAUCGCAAGACCUCUCACUAUUGGAGCGGCCGAUAUCGGAUUAGCUAGUUGGUGGGGUAAAGGCUCACCAAGGCAACGAUCCGUAGCUGGUUUGAGAGGACGACCAGCCACACUGGGACUGAGACACGGCCCAGACUCCUACGGGAGGCAGCAGUGGGGAAUUUUGGACAAUGGGGGAAACCCUGAUCCAGCCAUCCCGCGUGUAUGAUGAAGGCCUUCGGGUUGUAAAGUACUUUUGGCAGAGAAGAAAAGGUAUCCCCUAAUACGGGAUACUGCUGACGGUAUCUGCAGAAUAAGCACCGGCUAACUACGUGCCAGCAGCCGCGGUAAUACGUAGGGUGCAAGCGUUAAUCGGAAUUACUGGGCGUAAAGCGUGUGUAGGCGGUUCGGAAAGAAAGAUGUGAAAUCCCAGGGCUCAACCUUGGAACUGCAUUUUUAACUGCCGAGCUAGAGUAUGUCAGAGGGGGGGUAGAAUUCCCGGUGUAGCAGUGAAAUGC
rnacentral:rRNA from 1 species